rnacentral:sRNA from 1 species
GACGCGGAUUACGGUGGCGG